UACGUAGGUGGCAAGCGUUGUCCGGAUUUACUGGGCGUAAAGAGCGCGCAGGCGGUCGUUCAAGUCGCGUGUGAAAGCCCCCCGGCUCAACUGGGGAGGGUCACGCGAUACUGAUCGACUCGAAGGCAGGAGAGGGUAGUGGAAUUCCCGGUGUAGUGGUGGAAAUGCGUAGAUAUCGGGAGGAACACCAGUGGCGAAGGCGACUACCUGGCCUGUUUCUUGACGCUGAGGCGCGAAAGCUAGGGGAGCAAACGGG
rnacentral:rRNA from 1 species